UACGAAGGGAGCUAGCGUUGUUCGGAAUCACUGGGCGUAAAGCGCACGUAGGCGGAUGUGUCAGUCAGGGGUGAAAUCCCGGAGCUCAACUUCGGAACUGCCCUUGAUACAGCACGUCUUGAGUCCGGAAGAGGUGGGUGGAAUUCCUAGUGUAGAGGUGAAAUUCGUAGAAUAUUAGGAAGAACACCGGUGGCGAAGGCGGCCCGACUGGUCCGGGUCACUGACGCUGAGGUGCGAAAAGCGUGGGGGAGCAAACAGG
rnacentral:rRNA from 1 species